UACGUAGGGUGCAAGCGUUAGUCGGAAUUACUGGGCGUAAAGCGUGCGCAGGCGGUUUUGCAAGACAGAUGUGAAAUCCCCGGGCUCAACCUGGGAACUGCAUUUGUGACUGCAAGGCUAGAAUCUGGCAGAGGGGGGUAGAAUUCCACGUGUAGCAGUGAAAUGCGUAGAUAUGUGGAGGAAUACCGAUGGCGAAGGCAGCCCCCUGGGCUAAGAUUGACGCUCAUGCACGAAAGCGUGGGGAGCAAACAGG
rnacentral:rRNA from 1 species